GGGGACGUAACUGGUUUCGACAGGAUCAUCGACUCAGAUGCAGCGAGUAGUGGAUGCUCGUUGGCCACUUAAAUAAACAAGAGAACUUUAUAAUUGCCAACGACAAUUAUCAACUAGCAGCAGCUUAGCUGUUGCUCAUGAGUCCUUGGGAUCUGCCCCAGGGGUAGCUCAUGUCAGAUUGUAGACCUUGUUUGUGAGAGGUUAAACAUUCCCGCUCGACCGCUAAGCUUUGCCCGGUAUUGAGCUAUUAUGAAGCUACUUCUAGAGCCGCCCGUCAGGUGGCUACGUUCUAGGGGGAAUCUGAGAUUACCUGACUGCACUCGGAGAAACAUCUGCGAAGAAGGUUUUGGACAGGGGUUCGACUCCCCUCGUCUCCAUCA
rnacentral:tmRNA from 1 species